rnacentral:rRNA from 1 species
GCAAGUCGAGCGAAUGGAUUAAGAGCUUGCUCUUAUGAAGUUAGCGGCGGACGGGUGAGUAACACGUGGGUAACCUGCCCAUAAGACUGGGAUAACUCCGGGAAACCGGGGCUAAUACCGGAUAACAUUUUGAACCGCAUGGUUCGAAAUUGAAAGGCGGCUUCGGCUGUCACUUAUGGAUGGACCCGCGUCGCAUUAGCUAGUUGGUGAGGUAACGGCUCACCAAGGCAACGAUGCGUAGCCGACCUGAGAGGGUGAUCGGCCACACUGGGACUGAGACACGGCCCAGACUCCUACGGGAGGCAGCAGUAGGGAAUCUUCCGCAAUGGACGAAAGUCUGACGGAGCAACGCCGCGUGAGUGAUGAAGGCUUUCGGGUCGUAAAACUCUGUUGUUAGGGAAGAACAAGUGCUAGUUGAAUAAGCUGGCACCUUGACGGUACCUAACCAGAAAGCCACGGCUAACUACGUGCCAGCAGCCGCGGUAAUACGUAGGUGGCAAGCGUUAUCCGGAAUUAUUGGGCGUAAAGCGCGCGCAGGUGGUUUCUUAAGUCUGAUGUGAAAGCCCACGGCUCAACCGUGGAGGGUCAUUGGAGACUGGGAGACUUGAGUGCAGAAGAGGAGAGUGGAAUUCCCUGUGUAGCGGUGAAAUGCGUAGAGAUAU